AAACUAUCAAAAUAUAUAAUAUUUCAUUAGCUCUAAUAAAACAAAAAACUCUUGUAAUACAUUCAUUUCAUAAACAAAACCGACUUGAACGCCAUAGGAUUUCUCGCUUGAAUUUACGCAACAAGCAAGACUCGACUUGAAUGCCUUAAGAUUUCUCACUAAGUCAACACCAUUGUCAUGUUACUGAGAAGUCCCUGAAAAAUUAAGAAUAUACUACAUGGUUAAUUACUCUUUUUUAAUGAUAGAAUUGAACAAUUUCAAUACAAAUAGCAGUAUAUUGAUAUUUCUCUCUAAUACAUCAAUACAAAACAGCCCCCCCAAUACCACCUAGGCCAACACCUAAACAAUAUGACAUGAAUUAUACAAGAGCAACAAAGAUCUAAACUUAACAGAGGGAAAGGUACAAAAACAUCAAGAAAAAUUCCACUCUUACCGGCCAAGACAACAACUCUCAAAGAAUGGACAUAUAUAAAGCUAAUUUCAUUCUAAAUUAACAUCUAAGCUACUCAUGCUAAAUUUCUAAGAUACAAUGUAAGCAAAAGAAUGCAGCCACAUCAAACUUACAGUUUCUACCCUUAAUCUGUUGCAGCCACAUCAAACAAAAGAAUGCAGUAAAAACAUGGGAAUGAAACAAAACUUGCAGGUUUUGAGGAACAAUAUUGUAAGCUUCUUACAAUGGCCACACCUAGAAAAAU
rnacentral:lncRNA from 1 species